rnacentral:rRNA from 1 species
AUGAACGCUAGCGGCAGGCUUAAUACAUGCAAGUCGAGGGGCAGCACGAAUAGCAAUAUUUGGUGGCGACCGGCGCACGGGUGCGUAACACGUAUACAAUCUACCUUCAACAGGGGGAUAGCCUUUCGAAAGAGAGAUUAAUACCCCGUAAUAUAUUUAACGGCAUCGUUGAAUAUUGAAAGUUCCGACGGUUGAAGAUGAGUAUGCGUCUGAUUAGCUAGUUGGUGAGGUAACGGCUCACCAAGGCGACGAUCAGUAGGGGAUCUGAGAGGACUAACCCCCACACUGGUACUGAGACACGGACCAGACUCCUACGGGAGGCAGCAGUAAGGAAUAUUGGUCAAUGGAGGCAACUCUGAACCAGCCAUGCCGCGUGCAGGAUGACGGCCCUAUGGGUUGUAAACUGCUUUUGUACCAGAGAAAACCACCGUACGUGUACGGUGUUGAUAGUAUGGUAAGAAUAAGCAUCGGCUAACUUCGU